rnacentral:rRNA from 1 species
GUGGAUUAGAUACCCUGGUAGUCCAUGCCGUAAACGUUGGGCGCUAGGUGUGGGACUCAUUCCACGAGUUCCGUGCCGCAGCUAACGCAUUAAGCGCCCCGCCUGGGGAGUACGGCCGCAAGGCUAAAACUCAAAGGAAUUGACGGGGGCCCGCACAAGCGGCGGAGCAUGUGGAUUAAUUCGAUGCAACGCGAAGAACCUUACCAAGGCUUGACAUAUACCGGAAACAUCUGGAGACAGGUGCCCCGCAAGGUCGGUAUACAGGUGGUGCACGGCCGUCGUCAACU